CAAUAGCGUAUAUUAAAGUUGUUGCGGUUAAAAAGCUCGUAGUUGGAUUUCUGCCGAGGAUGACCGGUCCGCCCUGUGGGUGUGCAUCUGGCUCAGCCUUGGCAUCUUCCUGAAGAACGUAGCUGCACUUGACUGUGUGGUGCGGUAUUUAGGACAUUUACUUUGAGGAAAUUAGAGUGUUUCAAGCAAGCGCACGCUUUGAAUACAUUAGCAUGGAAUAAUAAGAUAGGACCUCGGUUCUAUUUUGUUGGUUUCUAGAGCUGAGGUAAUGAUUGAUAGGGAUAGUUGGGGGCAUUCGUAUUUAACUGUCAGAGGUGAAAUUCUUGGACCGUUUGAAGACAAACUACUGCGAAAGCAUUUGCCAAGAAUGUUUUCAUUAAUCAAGAACGAAAGUUAAAGGUUCGAAGACGAUUACGAGUACGUACCUAGUACGUACGUAGGACCUAAGGGCCCAAACGGACCAACGGGGAAC
rnacentral:rRNA from 1 species